rnacentral:rRNA from 1 species
UGCGGUUAAAAAGCUCGUAGUUGGAUCUCGGCAAGUAGAGGGCGGUAUGCUUCGUAGCAUUACUGCCCUAUUACUUGUAGUUUUGCCAGAGGUUCCUGGGUGCUCUUAAUCGAGUGUCUAGGGAUGCUGGCAGGUUUACUUUGAAAAAAUUAGAGUGCUCAAAGCAGGCUAUUACGCUUGAAUAUUCGUGCAUGGAAUAAUAGAAUAGGAAGUUGUUUCUAUUUUGUUGGUUUUCGGAAAUCGACUUAAUGAUUAAUAGGGACAGUCGGGGCAUUUGUAUUCAAACGACAGAGGUGAAAUUCUUGGACCGUUUGAAGACAAACUACUGCGAAAGCAUUUGCCAAGAAUGUUUUCACUAAUCAAGAACGAAAGUUAGAGGUUCGAAGGCGAUUAGAUACCGCCCUAGUUCUAACCAUAAACGAUGCCAGCUAGCGAUCUGAGGACGUUUUUUUUGUAGACUCCUCAGGAAGCUUCCGGGAAACCAAAGCGUGUGGGUUCCGGGGGAAGUAUGGUCGCAAAGCUGAAACUUAAAGGAAUUGACGGAAGGGCACCACCAGGAGUGGAGCCUGCGGCUUAAUUUGACUCAACACGGGAAAUCUCACCAGGCCCGGACACUGGAAGGAUUGACAGAUUGAGAGCUCUUUCUCGAU